rnacentral:rRNA from 1 species
CCAAUGGCGUAUAUUAAAGUUGCUGCAGUUAAAAAGCUCGUAGUUGAAUUUCGGGAUCAAUUUACUGGUCGUGCCUACGGUACGUACUGGUAUUGUUGGUUCCUCCUUUCUGAGGAGCCGCGAUGUCAUUAACUUGGUGUCGCGGGGAAUCAGGACUGUUACUUUGAAAAAAUUAGAGUGUUUAAAGCAAGCUAACGCUUGAAUACAUUAGCAUGGAAUAAUGAAAUAGGACGUUUGAUCCUAUUUUGUUGGUUUCUAGGGUCGACGUAAUGAUUAAUAGGGAUAGUUGGGGGCAUUAGUAUUCAAUUGUCAGAGGUGAAAUUCUUGGAUUUAUUGAAGACUAACUACUGCGAAAGCAUUUGCCAAGGAUGUUUUCAUUAAUCAAGAACGAAAGUUAGGGGAUCGAAGACGAUCAGAUACCGUCGUAGUCUUAACCAUAAACUAUGCCGACUAGGGAUCGGAUGAUGUUAAUUUUUUAAUGACUCAUUCGGCGCCUUACG